AUGAAGGGGGCUAGCGUUGCCCGGAAUCACUGGGAGUAAAGCGCACGUAGGCGGCUUCUUAAGUCAGGGGUGAAAUCCUGGAGCUCAACUCCAGAACUGCCUUUGAUACUGAGGAGCUCGAGUCCGGGAGAGGUGAGUGGAACUCCGAGUGUAGAGGUGAAAUUCGUAGAUAUUCGGAAGAACACCAGUGGCGAAGGCGGCUCACUGGCCCGGUACUGACGCUGAGGUGCGAAAGCGUGGGAGCAAACAGG
rnacentral:rRNA from 1 species